UACGUAGGGUGCAAGCGUUGUCCGGAAUUAUUGGGCGUAAAGAGCGUGUAGGCGGAUUUGUAAGUCAGGGGUGAAAUCCCGGGGCUCAACCUCGGAACUGCCUUUGAUACUGCAAAUCUCGAGUCCGGAAGAGGUGAGUGGAAUUCCUAGUGUAGAGGUGAAAUUCGUAGAUAUUAGGAAGAACACCAGUGGCGAAGGCGGCUCACUGGUCCGGUACUGACGCUGAGGUGCGAAAGCGUGGGGAGCAAACAGG
rnacentral:rRNA from 1 species